rnacentral:rRNA from 1 species
UGGGCGUAGGAUAUUUGAGAGGAGUUGUCCUUAGUACGAGAGGACCGGGAUGAACGAACCUAUUGUGCACCUGUUGUCGCGCCAGCGGCAUAGCAGGGUAGCGAAGUUCGGAAGGGAUAAACGCUGAAGGCAUCUAAGCGUGAAACCCACCUCAAGAUAAGAUAUCCCAUAUCGUAAGGUAGUAAGACCCCUUGAAGACUACAAGGUGAUAGGUCGGGUGUGUAAGCGCAGUAAUGCGUUGAGCUAACCGAUACUAAUAGGUCGAGGGCUUGAUCAC